rnacentral:sRNA from 1 species
CGUAGGUGAACCUGCGGAGGGAUCAUUACCGAGUUUACAACUCCCAAACCCAAUGUGAACGUUACCAAACUGUUGCCUCGGCGGGGUCACGCCCCGGGUGCGUAAAAGCCCCGGAACCAGGCGCCCGCCGGAGGAACCAACCAAACUCUUUCUGUAGUCCCCUCGCGGACGUAUUUCUUACAGCUCUGAGCAAAAAUUCAAAAUGAAUCAAAACUUUCAACAACGGAUCUCUUGGUUCUGGCAUCGAUGAAGAACGCAGCGAAAUGCGAUAAGUAAUGUGAAUUGCAGAAUUCAGUGAAUCAUCGAAUCUUUGAACGCACAUUGCGCCCGCCAGUAUUCUGGCGGGCAUGCCUGUCCGAGCGUCAUUUCAACCCUCGAACCCCUCCGGGGGAUCGGCGUUGGGGAUCGGGACCCCUCACCGGGUGCCGGCCCUGAAAUACAGUGGCGGUCUCGCCGCAGCCUCUCCUGCGCAGUAGUUUGCACAACUCGCACCGGGAGCGCGGCGCGUCCACGUCCGUAAAACACCCAACUUCUGAAAUGUUGACCUCGGAUCAGGUAGGAAUACCCGCUGAACUUAAGCAUAUCAAUAAGCCGGGAGGAAAAAU